rnacentral:rRNA from 1 species
AUGCAUGUGUCAGUACAGGCCGCUCUAAGGCGAAACCGCGAAUGGCUCAUUAAAUCAGUUAUCAUUCAUUUGAUCCAAACCUAUUACUCGGAUAACCCUGGUAAUUCUAGAGCUAAUACGUGACGAUUAMAACUCCGACUGGWAGGGAGGAGUGCUUUUAUUAGUURAAAACCAAUCGGGCCUCGGUCCGUCCACUUUACUGUGAYGACUCUGAAUAACUUUGYGCCGAGAGCACGGUCUCCGCACCGGCUCCGUAUCUUUCGAGUUUCUGCCUUAUCAUGCUGUGGAUUGUAGGCCAUGCGCCUACAGUGGCUGUUACGGGUGACGGAGAAUCAGGGUUCGAUUCCGGAGAGGGAGCCUGAGAAACGGCUACCACA